UACGAAGGGGGCUAGCGUUGCUCGGAAUCACUGGGCGUAAAGCGCACGUAGGCGGAUCUUUUAAGUCAGGGGUGAAAUCCCAAGGCUCAACCUUGGAACUGCCUUUGAUACUGGGGAUCUCGAGUCCGGAAGAGGUGAGUGGAACUGCGAGUGUAGAGGUGAAAUUCGUAGAUAUUCGCAAGAACACCAGUGGCGAAGGCGGCUCACUGGUCCGGUACUGACGCUGAGGUGCGAAAAGCGUGGGGAGCAAACAGG
rnacentral:rRNA from 1 species